rnacentral:rRNA from 1 species
UAGGGAAUCUUCCGCAAUGGACGAAAGUCUGACGGCGCAACGCCGCGUGAGCGAAGAAGGGCCUUCGGGUCGUAAAGCUCUGUUGUUAGGGAAGAACAAGUUACGAGAGUAACUGCUCGUACCUUGACGGUACCUAACCAGAAAGCCACGGCUAACUACGUGCCAGCAGCCGCGGUAAUACGUAGGUGGCAAGCGUUGUCCGGAAUUAUUGGGGCGUAAAGCGCGCGCAGGCGGUCCUUUAAGUCUGAUGUGAAAGCCCACGGCUCAACCGUGGAGGGUCAUUGGAAACUGGGGGACUUGAGUGCAGAAGAGGAGAGUGGAAUUCCACGUGUAGCGGUGAAAUGCGUAGAGAUGUGGAGGAACACCAGUGGCGAAGGCGACUCUCUGGUCUGGUAACUGACGCUUGAGGCGCGAAAGCGUGGGGAGCAAACAGGAUUAGAUACCCUGGUAGCCC